rnacentral:snRNA from 1 species
AUACUUACCUGGCAGGGGAGAUACCAUGAUCAUGAAGGUGGUUUUCCCAGUCUGAGGCUUAUCCAUUGCACUCCGGAUGUGCUGACCCCUGCAAUUUCCCCAAAUGUGGCAAACUCGACUGCAUGAUUUGUGGUAGUGGGGGACUGUGUUCGCGCUUUCCCCUG